rnacentral:tRNA from 1 species
GGGCCCGUAACUUAGUCUGGUGGAGUGCUGGUCUUAUAAACCAGCGGUCCGGAGUUCAAAUCUCCGCGGGCCCA